rnacentral:lncRNA from 1 species
UGCCACCAUGCCUAGCUAAUUAUUAGAUUUUAAAGUAAUUAUUGACUUCAUUUAAGUAAUCUAUUCAGUUCUUCAUAUGUUAGUUUCUAGGCUUCAUUACUUGGCCUCCCUGCUAGUUAGUUUCCAACUAAUCCAACUAUUGGGCACAUUGUUCAACUGGUUGUAGAAGAUGGAUUUGAGAAACAAUGUGUCUUUUUUUCCUGUAUCUUUUUUUUUAAUUUGCCAUUUCUUAUUUCUGAGAUAUGCAUACGAUGUUAGGGUACAUUGUGUGCAGGUGUGUCUCGUAUAUUCAAUGGUGAAUUCUAUACUGGCAGAGAGUUAAAUACUAGCCAUGUCUUGGUAUUGUUAUUUCUAUGGCCCAUCACUGGUCUCAUACUUUGUAAAUAUUUGUUCCUUCCUCACCUGCCUAAGACAAUCUAGAAUUGUCUCUGAUUGGCUUUAAUAAUGAUCUGAAGGACAAUAGCUGGGCAGGAAGUGGAAGUGGAACUUCCCGGCAGAGACAGGGAUUCUGGGAGGAGACUUGAGAUGCAGGAGAUUCAUGAAGCAGACACAGGUGAAGGUUAGGAGCUUCAUGCUAACUACCUGGAAGCCAGUAUCUGCUAGCAGCCUUCAGAUGAAGAUGUAGAACUCUCAGCUCCUCCUGGAUACUGCCAUGCUCCCACCAGGAUGAUAAUGGACUAAACCUCUGAACCUGUAAGCCAGCCCCAAUUAAAUGUUGUCCUUAUAAGAGUUGCCUUGGUCAUGGUGUUUGUUGACAGCAGUAAAAACCUAAGACAGUGCCAUUAUUUAUAUUGCUAGAGGUCCAAGAUAGUCCAGCUAUAAUAUCCCAUAUACCCAUAAGGAAAAAUAAAUGUGUUGCCUAAUCAGGAGUGUCCCAGUCAGAGCUGAGAUGUGGAUCUCUGACAGAGACGUUGCCUAGUUUACAGAGUCCCUAGGCCUACCCAUCAAUAAAUCGACCAAUCGGUCAGUGUGCCACAGACUGCAAUCCUGGGAUCUUGUACUUUCAUACAUUUUCACAUCAGAUAUCUGGUGGGUUUUCUUCCUACAUCUCGGAUGCUCUCCACGUGACACUACAGCCUCAUGUAAAAGUGAGAGACUGGGUUUUUUGAGUCUAGUAUUUUAGGUUACUUUUAAAAUAGGUCUUGCCUUUUAAACACACCCUACCAUCCGUUUGUUUGAAGAUAAUAUGGAUUUUCUUAACACUUCAAAGUGACCAUGAAGGAAAUCAUCUGCCAAUAAAGUCCUUUCCAACAGUGAUGCUGUCACAACAUUUGCUAAAGAUUCGAAGUCUGCUGAGAGUUUUGUUUAUUACAUAAGCAUACAGACAUCUACAUAAAACCUGAAAAUUUAUAAUACUCAUUAUUGAGCAUUUAACCAUAUCUAGAUGCAGUGUCAAAUGCUAGUAGGAAAAUAUACUUCCCUAUGUGAAGGCAUACACAUAUUGGAGUGGGUCAGGAGGAUCAAGGGCUCAAGGCCAGCCCUACCCAUACUAAAUUUGAGAUCAGCCUAGGAUCAAACUCUCAAAAAGGAAAAUUCAACAACAAAAAAAUGAAAAAUAGGAAAACAAAAACAAAAUUCCAAUUUAACUGGUAGCAGUGCUGGUAAUCCUGCCAUUCAGAAGACUGAUGCAGGAGAACUGUCAGUUCCAUGCGAGCCUGGGCUGGACUGUGAUAUCUUACUUACCUCAAAAAACGCCACAAAAGGAAGAGUGGGAAGAAACAUGCUAUAAACCCUGGGAACAGGAAAGACAGGUUUGCCCCUGCCCCUUCAGGGUUGACUGACUCAGCCAAGGACUAUCCAGUUCUCUUUUGGCACUGGUUGACUUGGAAUUCUCUCCUGAGUAGAGCAGUUUAGAUCCUGUAAGUGAGGUUAACCUGUGCAAGCAUCACCAGGCUUUCUGUCCUCAGCACUGCUGGCAUUUGAGGCUAGAGAGGUAGGUCAUCUGUAGUGGGGUGCUCUAAGAGCGCUUACAAUCAUCUCUGCCUUCGAGUGCACCCUGAGUUGUAACAACUAACUCAUUAGUGUUUCCCAUUGCCAGGGUCCCCUGGGGACAAAACCAUUCCCCACUUGAAAACAGCUGGUAAGGAAGCAAAAUAACUUUGGGGGCACAGAGAUGCAAAUAACUUUCUGGCAGAGACAAUAACCCUACAAACUUCGGGUUAUUGUUCUGUUCAGGUCCAGAUUAUAUCAAAGUGAUGUUCUUCCAGUACUCUGCUUACAGACACCACAAAUACUGUCUCCAGUUCUCUUUGAGACAGUCUUACAGUCUUGCCAGCUUAUUAAUAUCUUAAAUGAAUCUUUGGGACCUGCUUACUUUACAUUCUGUCAGUCGCAUGUUUAGCUGUAUCAAAUGUAACAUGCGUUAUUUAAUGUAUAAGCAACCAUAUGAGACUGUGGAUGGUGCAAUAAAUACCCAAAGUCAUGUUUCCAGCACUCACAGGUUGGGAACCCAACUUUUAUGUUUCAAGUCGUGACACUUUUUUUUUCCUUGAGAGAGGGUUUCCCUGUGUAGCUUUGGGUCUGUAGACCAGGCUGGCCUGAAACUCAGAGAUCUGUCUACCUCUGCCUCCCAAGUACAGGGAUUAAAGGUGUGCACCACCCCCACCUGAUUAAGUAGUGGCACUCUUAGCCACUGUCUUAAGAGGCCAGGCCAGUCCUUUGAGGUUUCAAAAGCUGGCACCAGGCCCUAUCUCUUCCUCCCUCCCAUCUUCACCCCUCCCCCCUCCCCCACCCCUCCCCCCACCCCGCCUCAGGACCAAGAUGUUGCUCUCAGCUACUGAUCCAGAGCCAUGCAUACUGCCAUGAUGAUAAUGGGCUAAGCCUCUGAAACUGUAAAUAAGGCCCCCAGUUAAAUGCUUUCUUGCAUAAGAGUUGCCUUGAUCAUGGUGUCUCUUCACAGCAAUAGAGCAGUGACUAAAACACCCAGCUUCCUGAACCCACCUGUCAAUUAUACUGGCACCAUCCUUAGCUGUCCAUUUUGUACAGUAUUAAAAGCUUCAUAGUUAAAAUCUAAGAAGAACUCCUAGAGACACUGUUUUUUUUUUUUAGCUCAUACAGUCUUUUUUAAAAUAUAUAUUUGUUUAAUUUAUGUAUUUGGGUACACACUAUAGCUGUCCACAGACCAGAAGAGGCCAUUGGAUCUCAUUACAGAUGGUUGUGAACCACCAUGUGGUUGCUUGGAAUUGAACUCAGGACCCCUGGAAGAGCAGCCAGGGGGACAACCGAGCAAGCUCUCCAGUCUCCACCUUCAAUUUUCUUUUUUUAACAUUCUGUGUUCAUCGUUGUAAUAGGACAGAAGCCACCUGGAAGGAAAAUUGACAUUUAUAUAGGAUCAUCUCCGAUUAAAUUAACGCACAUGGUCUGGAAUGAUUUCAAAGCGUGGAUGGGAAAAGGCAGAAGAAAGCCAGGCAGUGGUGGCACAUGCCUUUAAUCUCAUCACUUGGAAGCAGAGCCAUUCGACCUCCGUGAGUCUGACCUGGUCUACAGAGUGAGUUCCAGGACAGCAAGGACUACACAGGAUUCCUGUCUCAAAAAAAAAAGAAAGAAAGAAAGAAAGAAAGAAAGAAAGAAAGAAAGAAAGAGAGAGAGAGAAAGAGAAAAGAAAAAAGAAAAGAAAAGAAACAAUAAUAACAAAAAUUCCAAAAGGAAAAAGGAAGGAAGGAAGAAAAGAAGGAAGGAAGGAGGGAGGAAAUGAAGGAAGGAAGGACAGAGAAAACAAAUACAAUUGCCUCAGAUGCUAACCAUGGGUAUUCGCCUAAUGUCAUGGCAAAGGGAGAGAAGGGAGGAGGAAGAAACAGAAUGCAGAGUGCCUGCUCGCUGCUGUGAGGUGGGAAAACGGUGAAGUGUUCCAACCCAUAUGGAAACAGCUGAUUUAUUGCUGUCACACGAACGGCUUCAUUAUUUCCAUCAGUGCCUCCUUCAGCAGCAGGAAUUCUGGUUUCCAGAUGGGGAUGUUGGCUCUCCAGUUUCCUAAAAUGAUGAAGACUCUGCCACUGUGAUAUGGUAGCCACAGAAAGGAAAUGAGACAAGAGAAUGACUCUGCGUGGUGCUACCCUCCCUGUGUGAUGCAUUCCACCCUGUCUUCCUUCUUUCUCUACCUGCCUAUACAUAAUUGACACCCAUAUCCUAUAAUUCCAAUUUGAAGAUUAGACAUACUUGCUUUUAUAAUGGUUUUUUUUUUCUUAGUUUUGAGACUACAUCUCAUGGGUGUACAGAUGGAGUAUGGGUAGUAGUUUCUUUUUUUUUUUUUUUUAAGAUUUUAUUUAUUUAUUUAUUUAUUUAUUUAUAUGAGUACACUGUAGCGGUCUUCAGACACCCCAGAAGAGGGCAUCGGAUCCCAUUACAGAUGGUUAUGAGCCACCAUGUGGUUGCUGGGAUUUGAACUCAGGACCUCUGGGAGCACAAUCAGUGCUCUUACCCACUGAGCCAUCUCUCCAGUCUGGGUAGUAGUUUCUUGUAAGACUAUAAAGACCUACUUAUUCCAUUAUGAUCAUUUCCUAGGGACCAAUCCCCAGUCCCACAGUAUAUUCUUAUUAUUAUAAGACCGAAUUAGGACAUCCUCAGCCUAGAGCCCUCGACUAGCUACAAGUCAAAGCACAUGAACCACUGUACCAUAAGGCACACGUGAGCUGCCUGUUGCAGGUGUAGUCACUGCUCUUUGUUCUGUACUCAGAGCCAGGGGCCACUCUUAGUGUUUACUAACUGUGCCACUUCAUCAUACAAAAACAUAAAUGCAAAUAUAGUAUGGAACCAUUUAAGUUUUUGUUUUGUUUUGUUUUGUUUUGUUUGUUGUUUUGUUUUGUCUUUGGGGGGGUGAGGGGUUGAGGACUCAAUGGCAGCGUGCUUGUCUAUUAAGUACAGUGCUUGAGUUUGGUCCUCAGCUCUGGAGAAAAAGAGGUCUUUGUUGCUGUUUUUCUGUUUUGCUUUAUUUAUUUAUUUAUUUAUUUAUUUAUUUAUUUAUUUAUUUAUUUAUUUAUUGAGACACUAUUUUGUUUCAUGUGCCAGUUGGCCUUGAAAUUACCAUCCUCUCCUCUCAGCCUCCUGAAAUGCUGGGCAGUGUGUACAUCCAUGCCUGGGUCAUCAGGGCUCAGAGAGGAACAGGAAUCCUAUUGAGCAUUGGGCUAGAGGCCAUUUGUGCUAGAUUCUGGCAAAGCAUCUGACUGCAUCCCACAGGUCCUGAAAAUCUGAAGGAGGCGGAAGUGAAGAAACAACAACAAACCAACAGGGUAGGUCGUCUGUCAGAGAAGACUUCAGCAUUGAAUAACAUCCAAGGUGUAGUAUGUUCACCGCAAAUUGUCUUAAAAGAAAAACAACUCAGAACAGUUUCUUUGAGCUUCGUCUGAUCUGUUUGCAUUCACCGGCUGGAGAAUACGUGGCUUCUUCUUUGGUCCCUGACUUUAGAUUUGCUAUGUACAGGUUUAAAUACAUACAGCAUGUUGACCUUGCAUGUUCUUGUACGCACAUACAUAGAUACAUAUACAUAGAUGAAUACCUGUCUAUGCAUAUAUGCUGUAUGGUGAGUGUGUGUUUGGUUUUGUAAGAAACUACUAGAGCAUCUGCUGAAGAGUUGUCCUCGUGAUCUUAGGCAGACCUAGAUCCCACCCCUUUCUCACUUGUAUUUCUUAAAAAAUAAAAUAAUAAAAAAGCAUUUUAUGUGUAUCUAUGUCAAAAGAGGGCAUUGGAUCCUCACUAACUGCAGUUACAGACAGUUGAAGCCAUCAUGUGGGUUCUGGGAACUAAAUUCAGGUCCUGCAGCAAGAACAGAAAAUGCUCUUACCUCCGGAGCCAUCUCUCCAGCCUUCACCUUUGGUGUUUAAGAAUAAUGAGACGGCUGGGAACUCA